rnacentral:rRNA from 1 species
CGGGUGAGUAACGCGUGGAUAACCUGCCUCACACUGGGGGAUAACAGUUAGAAAUGGCUGCUAAUACCGCAUAAGCGCACAGUACCGCAUGGUACGGUGUGAGAAACCCAGGUGGUGUGAGAUGGAUCCGCGUCUGAUUAGCCAGUUGGCGGGGUAACGGCCCACCAAAGCGACGAUCAGUAGCCGACCUGAGAGGGUGACCGGCCACAUUGGGACUGAGACACGGCCCAA